rnacentral:rRNA from 1 species
AACGAACGCUGGCGGCAUGCCUAACACAUGCAAGUCGAACGAUCCCUUCGGGGAUAGUGGCGCACGGGUGCGUAACGCGUGGUAACCUGCCCUUAGGUUCGGAAUAACUCAGAGAAAUUUGAGCUAAUACCGGAUAAUGUCUUCGGACCAAAGAUUUAUCGCCUUUGGAUGGGCCCGCGUUGGAUUAGCUAGUUGGUGGGGUAAAGGCCUACCAAGGCGACGAUCCAUAGCUGGUCUGAGAGGAUGAUCAGCCACACUGGGACUGGGACACGGCCCAGACUCCUACGGGAGGCAGCAGUGGGGAAUAUUGGACAAUGGGCGAAAGCCUGAUCCAGCAAUGCCGCGUGAGUGAGGAAGGCCUUAGGGUUGUAAAGCUCUUUUACCCGGGAUGAUAAUGACAGUACCGGGAGAAUAAGCCCCGGCUAACUCCGUG